UUACAUUUGUUCGCUUUGUUGUUGUUAAUUGAACCCUUAUUCUUGGUUUGGCUGGCAGUCUGCUGGGAGUUAAUUGAACCCUUAUUCUUGGUUUGGCUGGCAGUCUGCUGGGAGUUAAUUGAACCCUUAUUCUUGGUUUGGCUGGCAGUCUGCUGGGAGUUAAUUGAACCCUUAUUCUUGGUUUGGCUGGCAGUCUGCUGGGAGUUAAUUGAACCCUUAUUCUUGGUUUGGCUGGCAGUCUGCUGGGAGUUAAUUGAACCCUUAUUCUUGGUUUGGCUGGCAGUCUGCUGGGAGUUAAUUGAACCCUUAUUCUUGGUUUGGCUGGCAGUCUGCUGGGAGUUAAUUGAACCCUUAUUCUUGGUUUGGCUGGCAGUCUGCUGGGAGUUAAAUGAACCCUUAUUCUUGGUUUGGCUGGCAGUCUGCUGGGAGUUAAUUGAAACCUUAUUCUUGGUUUGGCUGGCAGUCUGCUGGGAGUUAAUUGAACCCUUAUUCUUGGUUUGGCUGGCAGUCUGCUGGGAGUUAAUUGAACCCUUAUUCUUGGUUUGGCUGGCAGUCUGCUGGGAGUUAAUUGAACCCUUAUUCUUGGUUUGGCUGGCAGUCUGCUGGGAGUUAAUUGAACCCUUAUUCUUGGUUUGGCUGGCAGUCUGCUGGGAGUUAAUUGAACCCUUAUUCUUGGUUUGGCUGGCAGUCUGCUGGGAGUUAAUUGAACCCUUAUUCUUGGUUUGGCUGGCAGUCUGCUGGGAGUUAAUUGAACCCUUAUUCUUGGUUUGGCUGGCAGUCUGCUGGGAGUUAAAUGAACCCUUAUUCUUGGUUUGGCUGGCAGUCUGCUGGGAGUUAAUUGAAACCUUAUUCUUGGUUUGGCUGGCAGUCUGCUGGGAGUUAAUUGAACCCUUAUUCUUGGUUUGGCUGGCAGUCUGCUGGGAGUUAAUUGAACCCUUAUUCUUGGUUUGGCUGACAGUCUGCUGGGGGUUAAUUGAACCCUUAUUCUUGGUUUGGCUGACAGUCUGCUGGGAGUUAAUUGAACCCUUAUUCUUGGUUUGGCUGACAGUCUGCUGGGAGUUAAUUGAAGUGUUUUUCCCCCUCAGUGGCCACUGUCACCACUGA
rnacentral:lncRNA from 1 species